UACGAAGGGGGCUAGCGUUGCUCGGAAUCACUGGGCGUAAAGCGCACGUAGGCGGGUUGUUAAGUCGGGGGUGAAAUCCUGGAGCUCAACUCCAGAACUGCCUUCGAUACUGGCGACCUUGAGUCCGGGAGAGGUGAGUGGAACUCCGAGUGUAGAGGUGAAAUUCGUAGAUAUUCGGAAGAACACCAGUGGCGAAGGCGGCAUACUGGCCCAUUACUGACGCUGAGGCUCGAAAGCGUGGGGAGCAAACAGG
rnacentral:rRNA from 1 species